rnacentral:lncRNA from 13 species
GCCAGGUAAAAAAACAAAACAAAGGAAGAAAAAGCAGUAUAAUCUUUCACACCAGAACCAGCCUGCAGCCAGCCAGAUCCCCAGAG